GAUGAACGCUGGCGGUAUGCUUAACACAUGCAAGUCGAACGGACUCUUCGGAGUUAGUGGCGGACGGGUGAGUAACGCGUGAGAAUCUGGCUUUGGGUUCGGGACAACCACUGGAAACGGUGGCUAAUACCGGAUGUGCCGAGAGGCAAAAGAGAAAUUGCCUGAAGAUGAGCUCGCGUCUGAUUAGCUAGUUGGUGAGGUAAGGGCUCACCAAGGCAGCGAUCAGUAGCUGGUCUGAGAGGAUGACCAGCCACACUGGGACUGAGACACGGCCCAGACGCCUACGGGAGGCAGCAGUGGGGAAUGUUCCGCAAUGGGCGAAAGCCUGACGGAGCAAUACCGCGUGAGGGAAGAAGGCUCUUGGGUUGUAAACCUCUUUUCUUAGGGAAGAACAAAAUGACGGUACCUAAGGAAUCAGCAUCGGCUAACUCCGUG
rnacentral:rRNA from 1 species